GAUGAACGCUAGCGGCAGGCCUAAUACAUGCAAGUCGAGGGGCAGCACGGUAGCAAUACUGGUGGCGACCGGCGCACGGGUGCGUAACACGUAUGCAACCUGCCUUCAACUGGGAGAUAGCCCGGGGAAACUCGGAUUAAUACCCCAUAACACAGUGAAACAGCAUUGUUUAUUGUUAAAGCUCCGGCGGUUGAAGAUGGGCAUGCGUUCGAUUAGCUAGUUGGUGUAGGUAAUGGCUCACCAAGGCUACGAUCGAUAGGGGGUCUGAGAGGAUGAUCCCCACACUGGUACUGAGAUACGGACCAGACUCCUACGGGAGCAGCAGUAGGGAAUAUUGGUCAAUGGACGCAAGUCUGAACCAGCCAUGCCGCGUGCAGGAAGACGGCCCU
rnacentral:rRNA from 1 species